rnacentral:tRNA from 1 species
GGGCCAGUAGCCCAACGGCAGAGGCAGGGGUUUUAAAAACCCCCCAGUGCGGGUUCGAAUCCCGCCUGGCCCA